UCCGCUUACACUGGGUCCUGUGAUCAUUCCUCCUUGUGAAUCUCUGCUCUGAUCUCAUGAGACAUGCAGUAAUGAAAACCAAUGUUGAUGGUAAAUGACACAUGGCAUCCUGAAAACAGCAUGUCAUCUAUUUGUAAAGAACUCAACUCCAAGAAAGAAAGAAACAUAAAGAAGAAAGAAAGAAAGAAAGAAAGAAAGAAAGAAAGAAAGAAAGAAAGAAAGAAAGAAAGAAAGAAAAUGAAGAGGGUAUGCAAUUAAAAGAGAAGCCCUAAAUUAAUCUAAAACUUUGCAUUUAAUAAAUGACUCAAUGAAAUCUAUAAGAUUGAAAAGCCCAGGCUGGAUGGGUUAGGAGAAAGCAGAAGAAUAUAUUUGCAUAAGUUUCCCUCCAGAAUUGAAUUAAAUGUUACAUCUCUUCAAGGUUCAGAGCAAAAAUCACAUAGAUAGCUAGGAUCAGGGAAUUGAAAGAGAUAGCUUUUAUUUUUCAAAGAAGUAGACAGUGAUAUUAAUCAAAACAAACCAAAGAGAAUGCAUUUCACUUAUUUGAUGAGCAUAUUUGGACAUAUUUUAAUGUACAAAAUGGAGACAACUAUAGAAAAAAUCUGAGUUCCUUUCCUGACUCUAUUGAUGCAUAAAUCAUUUUGGUUGAGAUAUUCAUUUAAGAUAUUAAAGCCAUUGCAUUUUUUAUAAAGUUGUAGAAUUAUAUGUA